GGACAGGAGCUCAUUGCUCCGACCGGACGAGGGAGCCGUACCCGGACAGCGACAAGACGGCCGCC
rnacentral:ncRNA from 1 species